UAGUAUUUGAACCAAUCAUAUCCUGUAUGCGCAGAAUGAACAAAAAACUCAUCGCGUGAGGAGUAUGAUCUUUCAUGGAACUAGUAGUAAUGGGAUUUUUUUAAUAAAUAAGUAACAUACUAUGUUCUUAAUGAAAGAUUUGAUGGAAAAUAUUAAAAGUAAUAUUUUAUAAUGUUAUACAAUAGAAAUGUCACAACUAUUUGAAGAUCUGAAGCUUGCAGAAAUUUGUGAGGCUAUGUAUCAUUCUUUAUAUUUGAAUCUUUGAGAUAUGAAUGGUAAAUGCUUACACAAACCAAUCGAUGGCGAUAAUUAACGAGACAUCUUCUACAGGGACUCCCACAGAAUUUAAUACCAUUAUUAACAUUACAUAACCACCACUAGGGACUGUAGCUGUACUGAAGAAUUUAGCUUUUAUUAUGAUGUACCAAAUGCUGUAACGAAAGCUGGUCCAAGCUUAGUUAUAAUUUUGUAUGGAGAUUGUCGAGUGCAUAUGAAAUAUAUUAGAG